rnacentral:rRNA from 1 species
UACGGGGGGGGCAAGCGUUGUUCGGAAUUACUGGGCGUAAAGGGCUCGUAGGUGGCCAACUAAGUCGGACGUGAAAUCCCUCGGCUUAACCGGGGAACUGCGUCCGAUACUGGUUGGCUUGAGUUUGGGAGAGGGAUGCGGAAUUCCAGGUGUAGCGGUGAAAUGCGUAGAUGUCUGGAGGAACACCGGUGGCGAAGGCGGCAUCCUGGACCGAGAUUGACGCUGAUGAGCGAAAGCUAGGGGAGCAAACGGG